rnacentral:rRNA from 1 species
UACGGAGGGGGCUAGCGUUGUUCGGAAUUACUGGGCGUAAAGCGCACGUAGGCGGCUUUGUAAGUUAGAGGUGAAAGCCCAGAGCUCAACUCUGGAACUGCCUUUAAGACUGCAUCGCUUGAAUCAUGGAGAGGUCAGUGGAAUUCCGAGUGUAGAGGUGAAAUUCGUAGAUAUUCGGAAGGACACCAGUGGCGAAGGCGACUGACUGGACAUGUAUUGACGCUGAGGUGCGAAAGCGUGGGGAGCAAACAGG